AUACUUACCUGGCAGAGGAGAUGCCAUGGUCAUGAGGCUAUUUUUCCCAGGGUGGGGCUCAUUCAUUGACUCUGAGUGUGCUGACCCCUGCAAUUUCCCCAAAUGCAGGAAAUUCGAUUGCAUCAUUUGUGCUUAAAUUAUUAAUUAAAC
rnacentral:snRNA from 1 species